GCAAACCUACGGGAGGCAGCAGUCGGGAAUAUUGCGCAAUGGAGGAAACUCUGACGCAGUGACGCCGCGUAUAGGAAGAAGGUUUUCGGAUUGUAAACUAUUGUCGAUAGGGAAGAAAAAAGACUGUACCUAUCAAGAAAGCUCCGGCUAACUACGUGCCAGCAGCCGCGGUAAUACGUAGGGGGCAAGCGUUAUCCGGAUUUACUGGGUGUAAAGGGAGCGUAGACGGUGCGCCAAGUCUGGAGUGAAAUGCCGCAGCUUAACUGCGGAACUGCUUUGGAAACUGGCGAACUAGAGGGCGGGAG
rnacentral:rRNA from 1 species